rnacentral:rRNA from 1 species
AUUCCAGCUCCAAUAGCGUAUAUUAAAGUUGUUGCAGUUAAAAAGCUCGUAGUUGGAUCUCAGGGUGAGCUCAGUUGGUCGGCCUAAUUGGUCAGAACUGGCUGACUCUCCCUUGUUUCUGAAUCCCGGUCGGAGUUAAUUCUUCGUUCGUGGACUUCAGAUCGUUUACCUUGAAAAAAUUAGAGUGUUCAAAGCGGGCGUUUGCUUGAAUACAUUAGCAUGGAAUAAUGGAAUAGGACCCUGGUUCUAUUUUGUUGGUUUUGAGGACCAGAGUAAUGAUUAAUAGGGAUAGUUGGGGGCAUUCAUAUUUAAUUGUCAGAGGUGGAAUUCUUGGAUUUAUGAAAGAUGAACUUCUGCGAAAGCAUUUGCCAAGGAUGUUUUCAUUG